GGAGUCAGUGGGAAAUGAGGCUGGGCCAAGCCAGGACCAAGCUGUGGGGUGCUUGAGGUGGUUGGAGGGAAUGCAGGGGCAGCUGGUAACAGGGGUGACAAAGGGUGUAUUUGCAGGUGGGAGACCUGCCACCAGCAGUCAUCCCAGUGCACAUGGCAGUGGUGGGCUGCCCCAUCAGCUCCCAGCGGACCACCUCUUACAUGGCUGACAAGUCACAGAAGGAGCCCAUCAUCAGGUUUGGGACCCAGGUCUCUGGAGGAGACACAAUCACACGGAAACUUCGCCUGAAUAACUCCAGCCCCUGUGACAUUCGCCUAGACUGGGUCACCUAUGUUCCAGAAGAUAAGGAGGAUAAGCUGGUGGACCUGCUAGUGUUUUAUGGACCACCAUUCCCACUGCGGGAUCAAGCUGGAAAUGAGAUUGUGUACCCUGAGACCCCCGAGAGCAGCAGCUUACCCUGGUCCCCAAGCCCCUCCAGCAUGUCCGAGUCCAGCCAUGCAGCUGCUUUUCCAGUAGAGGCCUACUCCAAUGCCAGCAACAGGGCUGCAGCACAGAUCAUCUCAGUUGUCCUGCAGGAGCAUGAGGGGGUGCCCUCCGACCUCCCCUACUGUAUCAGACCCCAGCAGGUGGUGAGUCCAGGUGGACCUGUCUCUGGGGGUCUGCCCUGGCCUCCCAGCAGGCACAGGGCAGUGCUGAGGCUGCUGUGUCCAUGCCAGGUGGUCCCUGCUGGGGGAAGUAGCACCAUCUACAUCUCCUUCACACCUCCGGUGCUCAGCUCCGACAUCCAGCAGAAGGUGGAGUGUACUGGCUACGCCCUGGGUUUCAUGAGCUUGGACAAUGAGGUGAACGUCCUGGGGUGGGGACCAUAG
rnacentral:lncRNA from 1 species